rnacentral:rRNA from 1 species
AAUCAACGCUGGCGGCGUGCCUCAGACAUGCAAGUCGAACGCGAAAGUCCCCUUCGGGGGCGAAGUAGAGUGGCGCACGGGUGAGUAACACGUAGGUAAUCUACCUUUGGAUGGGGAAGUAACAACCGGAAACGGUUAGCUAAUACCGCAUAAUGCAGCGGCACCUAAUAGGUGACAGUUGUUAAAGACGGGGGAGUCGAAAGACCUCGCGUCUGAAGAGGAGCCUGCGGCGGAUUAGCUAGNGGUUAAGGUAACGG